rnacentral:rRNA from 1 species
AUUGAACGCUGGCGGCAUGCCUAACACAUGCAAGUCGAACGAGUGGCGGACGGGUGCGUAAUGUCUGGGCAACUGCCUGAUGUAGGGGGAUAACUACUGGAAACGGUAGCUAAUACCGCAUACCAUCAGAUGUGCCCAGAUGGGAUUAGCUAGUUGGUGGGGUAACGGCUCACCAAGGCGACGAUCCCUCGCUGGUCUGAGAGGAUGACCAGCAACACUGGAACUGAGACACGGUCCAGACUCCUACGGGAGGCAGCAGUGGGGAAUAUUGCACAAUGGGCGCAAGCCUGAUGCAGCCAUGCCGCGUGUAUGAAGAAGGCCUUCGGGUUGUAAAGUACUUUCAGCGGGGAGGCGUUACCCGCAGAAGAAGCACCGGCUAACUCCGUGCCAGCCGCCGCGGUAAUUC